rnacentral:rRNA from 1 species
GUGUACCUACCUCUGUUGCUUUGGCGGGCCGCGGUCCUCCGCGGCCGCCCCCCUCCCCGGGGGGGUGGCCAGCGCCCGCCAGAGGACCAUCAAACUCCAGUCAGUAAACGAUGCAGUCUGAAAAACAUUUAAUAAACUAAAACUUUCAACAACGGAUCUCUUGGUUCUGGCAUCGAUGAAGAACGCAGCGAAAUGCGAUAAGUAAUGUGAAUUGCAGAAUUCAGUGAAUCAUCGAAUCUUUGAACGCACAUUGCGCCCUUUGGUAUUCCGAAGGGCAUGCCUGUUCGAGCGUCAUUACAACCCUCAAGCUCUGCUUGGUAUUGGGCACCGUCCUUUGCGGGCGCGCCUCAAAGACCUCGGCGGUGGCGUCUUGCCUCAAGCGUAGUAGAACAUACAUCUCGCUUCGGAGCGCAGGGCGUCGCCCGCCGGACGAACCUUCUGAACUUUUCUCAAGGUUGACCUCGGAUCAGGUAGGGAUACCCGCUGAACUUAAGCAUAUCAAUA